GCGUAAAGCGCGUGCAGGCGGUUUGGUAAGUCGGGCGUGAAAGCUCCUGGCUCAACUGGGAGAAGCCGUCCGAAACUACCAGACUUGAGGGCAGAAGAGGGAGGUGGAAUUCCGGGUGUAGUGGUGAAAUGCGUAGAUAUCCGGAGGAACACCAGUGGCGAAGGCGGCCUCCUGGACUGUCCCUGACGCUCAGACGCGAAAGCUAGGGGAGCGAACGGGAUUAGAAACCCCGGUAGUCCUAGCCGUAAACGAUGCGGACUUGGUGUUCGUGGCUUAAACUCCAUCAGUGCCGAAGCUAACGCGAUAAGUCCGCCGCCUGGGGACUACGGCCGCAAGGCUAAAACUCAAAGGAAUUGACGGGGGCCCGCACAAGCAGCGGAGCGUGUGGUUCAAUUCGAGGUUACGCGAAGAACCUUACCAGGGCUUGACAUGCACGUAGUAGGGAUCCGAAAGGUGACCGACCCUUCGGGGAGCGUGCACAGGUGCUGCAUGGCUGUCGCCAGCCCGUGUCGUGAGAUGUCCGGUUAAGUCCGGUAACGAGCGCAACCCCUAUCGCGUGUUACAUGUGUCACGCGAGACCGCCGGUAUCAAGCCGGAGGAAGGUGGGGAUGACGUCAAGUCAGCAUGGCCUUUAUGUCCUGGGCUACACACACGCUACAAUGGCCGGUACAAUGGGUUGCAAAGCCGCGAGGCGGAGCCAAUCCUAAAAAGCCGGUCUCAGUUCGGAUCGCAGGCUGCAACCCGCCUGCGUGAAGU
rnacentral:rRNA from 1 species